rnacentral:lncRNA from 1 species
GCCGGCAGUUGGGAAGGUACCAACUAGGUGACAAAAAAUCGGCUACAAGUCUCAUUGACAAUCUGAAUCUUUAAUUAAACUUCAGUGUUGAGGUAUCUAUUCCCUUCAUAGCAUUUAAAUAAUCUUCUCUUCUAGUCCUCAAAAUAUAAAGGAAAGAAAUUGUUCCCUACUCCACGUUCUCUAUUUUAUUUUUCAUUAUUCAAGAAGUAUCAUGACAAAUCA